rnacentral:rRNA from 1 species
GGGGUGCUCGAGUGGCGAACGGGUGAGUAACACGUGAGUAACCUGCCCUUGACUUUGGGAUAACUUCAGGAAACUGGGGCUAAUACCGGAUAGGAGCUCCUGCUGCAUGGUGGGGGUUGGAAAGUUUCGGCGGUUGGGGAUGGACUCGCGGCUUAUCAGCUUGUAGGUGGGGUAGUGGCUUACCAAGGCUUUGACGGGUAGCCGGCCUGAGAGGGUGACCGGCCACAUUGGGACUGAGAUACGGCCCAG